rnacentral:rRNA from 1 species
GAGGAGCCCGCGCACGAUUAGCUAGUUGGUAGGGUAAUGGCCUACCAAGGCUUUGAUCGUUAGCUGGUCUGAGAGGAUGGCCAGCCACACUGGAACUGAGACACGGUCCAGACUCCUACGGGAGGCAGCAGUGGGGAAUCUUGCACAAUGGGCGAAAGCCUGAUGCAGCGACGCCGCGUGGGGGAUGAAGCAUUUCGGUGUGUAAACCCCUUUCGAUCCGGACGAAUGCCUCGCAAGAGGAGUGACGGUACGGAUAUAAGAAGCCCCGGCUAACUACGUGCCAGCAGCCGCGGUAAGACGUAGGGGGCCAGCGUUGUUCGGAAUUACUGGGUGUAAAGGGUUCGUAGGCGGUGUGGCAAGUUGGGAGUGAAAUCUCUGGGCUCAACCCAGAGGCUGCUUCCAAAACUGCUGUGCUUGAGUGUGAGAGAGGCGCGUGGAAUUGCAGGUGCAGCGGUGAAAUGCGUAGAUAUCUGCAGG